rnacentral:rRNA from 1 species
AGUGAACGCUCGCGGUAGGCCUAACACAUGCAAGUCGAACGGCAGCACAGUAAGAGCUUGCUCUUACGGGUGGCGAGUGGCGGACGGGUGAGGAAUACAUCGGAAUCUACUUUUUCGUGGGGGAUAACGUAGGGAAACUUACGCUAAUACCGCAUACGACCUACGGGUGAAAGCAGGGGAUCUUCGGACCUUGCGCGAUUGAAUGAGCCGAUGUCGGAUUAGCUAGUUGGCGGGGUAAAGGCCCACCAAGGCGACGAUCCGUAGCUGGUCUGAGAGGAUGAUCAGCCACACUGGAACUGAGACACGGUCCAGACUCCUACGGGAGGCAGCAGUGGGGAAUAUUGGACAAUGGGCGCAAGCCUGAUCCAGCCAUACCGCGUGGGUGAAGAAGGCCUUCGGGUUGUAAAGCCCUUUUGUUAGGAAAGAAAAGCAGCAGGUUAAUACCCCGCUGUUCUGACGGUACCCAAAGAAUAAGCACCGGCUAACUUCGUG